GGAAUAUUGGACAAUGGAGGAAACUCUGAUCCAGCGAUGCCGCGUGAAGGAAGACGGCCCUAUGGGUUGUAAACUUCUUUUAUACAGGAAGAAACCUUUCCACGUGUGGAAAGCUGACGGUACUGUAAGAAUAAGGAUCGGCUAACUCCGUGCCAGCAGCCGCGGUAAUACGGAGGAUCCAAGCGUUAUCCGGAAUUAUUGGGUUUAAAGGGUCCGCAGGCUGUUUGUUAAGUCAGGGGUGAAAUCCUACCGCUCAACGGUAGAACUGCCUUUGAUACUGGCAAACUUGAGUUAUUGUGAAGUAGUUAGAAUGUGUAGUGCAGCGGUGAAAUGCAUAGAUAUUACACAGAAUACCAAUUGCGAAGGCAGAUUACUAACAAUUAACUGACGCUGAGGGACGAAAGCGUGGGUAGCGAACAGGAUUAGAUACCCUGGUAGUCCACGCCGUAAACGAUGGUCACUAGCUGUUCGAUGUACAUUGGUACAUUGAGUGGCUAAGCGAAAGUGAUAAGUGACCCACCUGGGAAGUACGCUCGCAAGAGUGAAGCUCAAAGGAAUUGACGGGGGCCC
rnacentral:rRNA from 1 species